CCAGACUCCUACGGGAGGCAGCAGUGAGGAAUAUUGGUCAAUGGGAGAGAUCCUGAACCAGCCAAGCCGCGUGAGGGAAGACGGCCCUAUGGGUUGUAAACCUCUUUUGUCGGAGAACAAAACCCGGGACGUGUCCCGGACUGCGUGUAUCCGAAGAAAAAGCAUCGGCUAACUCCGUGCCAGCAGCCGCGGUAAUACGGAGGAUGCGAGCGUUAUCCAGAUUUAUUGGGUUUAAAGGGUGCGUAGGCGGUCCGUUAAGUCAGCGGUAAAAUGUCGGGGCUCAACCCCGGCCGGCCGUUGAAACUGGCGUGCUCGAGUUGGAGAGAAGUAUGCGGAAUUCGUGGUGUAGCGGUGAAAUGCAUAGAUAUCACGAAGAACCCCGAUUGCGAAGGCAGCAUACCGGCUCCACACUGACGCUGAGGCACGAAAGCGUGGGUAUCGAACAGGAUUAGAUACCCCAGUA
rnacentral:rRNA from 1 species